UACGGGGGGGGCAAGCGUUGUUCGGAAUUACUGGGCGUAAAGGGCUCGUAGGCGGCCCUCUCAGUCGGAUGUGAAAUCCCCAGGCUUAACCUGGGAACGGCAUCCGAUACUGGAGGGCUUGAAUUCGGGAGAGGGAUGUAGAAUUCCAGGUGUAGCGGUGAAAUGCGUAGAUAUCUGGAGGAAUACCGGUGGCGAAGGCGGCAUCCUGGACCAUUACUGACGCUGAGGCGCGAAAGCUAGGGGAGCAAACGGG
rnacentral:rRNA from 1 species